rnacentral:rRNA from 1 species
AUUGAACGCUGGCGGUAUGCCUAACACAUGCAAGUCGAACGAGGUAGCAAUACCUAGUGGCGGACGGGUGAGGAAUACGUAGGGAUCUGCCCUUAAGUGGGGGAUAACCCGGGGAAACCCGGAUUAAUACCGCAUGAUCUCGCAAGAGCAAAGAGGGGGACCGCAAGGCCUCUCGCUUUUGGAGGAACCUACGUCGGAUUAGCUAGUUGGUGAGGUAAUGGCUCACCAAGGCGACGGUCCGUAACUGGUCUGAGAGGAUGAUCAGUCACACCGGAACUGAGACACGGUCCGGACUCCUACGGGAGGCAGCAGUGGGGAAUAUUGGACAAUGGGCGAAAGCCUGAUCCAGCAAUACCGCGUGUGUGAAGAAGGCC